rnacentral:ncRNA from 1 species
AUUCUGGUUGAUCCUGCCAGUAGUUAUAUGCUUGUCUCAAAGAUUAAGCCAUGCAUGUCUAAGUACACACGAAUUAAAAGUGAAACCGCAAAAGGCUCAUUAUAUCAGUUAUGGUUCCUUAGAUCGUUAACAGUUACUUGGAUAACUGUGGUAAUUCUAGAGCUAAUACAUGCAAUUAAAACAUGAACCUUAUGGGACAUGUGCUUUUAUUAGGCUAAAACCAAGCGAUCGCAAGAUCGUUAUAUUGGUUGAACUCUAGAUAACAUGCAGAUCGUAUGGUCUUGUACCGACGACAGAUCUUUCAAAUGUCUGCCCUAUCAACUUUUGAUGGUAGUAUCUAGGACUACCAUGGUUGCAACGGGUAACGGGGAAUCAGGGUUCGAUUCCGGAGAGGGAGCCUGAGAAACGGCUACCACAUCUAAGGAAGGCAGCAGGCGCGUAAAUUACCCACUCCCAGCUCGGGGAGGUAGUGACGAAAAAUAACAAUACAGGACUCAUAUCCGAGGCCCUGUAAUUGGAAUGAGUACACUUUAAAUCCUUUAACAAGGACCAAUUGGAGGGCAAGUCUGGUGCCAGCAGCCGCGGUAAUUCCAGCUCCAAUAGCGUAUAUUAAAGUUGUUGCGGUUAGAA